AAUAUUGGACAAUGGGCGCAAGCCUGAUCCAGCCAUGCCGCGUGCAGGAAGACUGCCCUAUGGGUUGUAAACUGCUUUUAUACGGGAAGAAACACACUUACGUGUAAGUGUUUGACGGUACCGUAAGAAUAAGGAUCGGCUAACUCCGUGCCAGCAGCCGCGGUAAUACGGAGGAUCCAAGCGUUAUCCGGAAUCAUUGGGUUUAAAGGGUCCGUAGGUGGAUAGAUAAGUCAGAGGUGAAAUCCUGCAGCUCAACUGUAGAAUUGCCUUUGAUACUGUUUAUCUUGAGUCAUUAUGAAGUGGUUAGAAUGUGUAGUGUAGCGGUGAAAUGCAUAGAUAUUACACAGAAUACCGAUUGCGAAGGCAGAUCACUAAUAAUGUACUGACACUAAGGGACGAAAGCGUGGGGAGCGAACAGGAUUAGAUACCCUGGUAGUCCACGCCGUA
rnacentral:rRNA from 1 species